rnacentral:rRNA from 1 species
UAACGGACUACCAUGGCACCGACUGGUAGCUGGUCUGAGAGGACGACCAGCCACACUGGGACUGAGACACGGACCAGACUCCUACGGGAGGCAGCAGUGGGGUAUUUUGGACAAUGGGCGCAAGCCUGAUCCAGCCAUGCCGGGUGCGGGAAGAAGGCCUUCGUGUUGUAAACCGCUUUUUGUCGGGGGAGAAACGCUCCAGAUUAAUACGUUGUAGUAAUGACGGUCCCCGAAGAAUAAGCACCGGCUAACUAACGUGCCAGCAGCCGCGGUAAUACGUAUGGGUGGCAAGUCGUUAAUCGUUAUUUACUGGGCGUACAGGCGUGCGCAGGCGGUCUUUUGCAAGGACAGAUGUGAAAAUCCGCGCCGGGUCUAUAACCCUGGACAAACUGUCAUU